UGGAGAGGGAGGAAAAGAAAAGUCCGUUAUUUCCAGGAGGAUCUGAGCAGAGUGCUGAUAAAGGUUCCCCCUGUGACACUGACAGUGCAUUUGCCAGCAGAGAGAGGUCUUGCCAGAAGAUGAAUGUCAUCAAAGACAACAGAGACCUGGCCUGUUUCUACACCACCAAACACUCCUGGAGGGGAAAGUACAAACGAGUCUUCUCCGUGGGCACUCAUGGCAUUACCACGUACAACCCCACCACGCUCGAAGUCACAAACCAGUGGCCGUAUGGGGACAUCUGUGGCAUCACCCCGGUGGGAAAGGGCCAAGGCACCGAGUUCAACCUCACAUUCCGCAAGGGCAGUGGCAAAAAGUCCGAAACGCUCAAGUUCUCCACAGAGCACCGGACAGAGCUGCUCACAGAGGCACUGAGAUUCAGGACAGACUUCUCUGAGGGAAAGAUAACUGGCAGGCGCUACAACUGUUACAAGCACCACUGGAGCGACACACGGAAGUCGGUGAGCCUGGAGGUGACCCCGGGGGGCAUCGACCAGAUCGAUCCCCAGACCAACCGGGUGGUGUGCUCCUACGACUACCGCUCCGUGGAGGGCUUCGCAGAGGUCAACGACUACCAGGGGGGCUUCUGCAUCCUCUAUGGGGGCUUCAGCCGCCUGCACCUGUUUGCGUCAGAGCACCGGGACGAGAUCAUCAAAAGCGCCAUUGAGCACGCAGGCAACUUCAUUGGCAUCACGCUGCGGCUGCGUAAGGACCCUCUGACCUUUGAGGACUUUGUGACGGACCGACUCGGGAAGUACGGCUCAGACGAGUCCAUCACCUCCCUGGCUGAGUUUGUGGUGCAGAAGAUCUCCCCACGCCACUUGGAGCCCGUCAAGAGGAUCCUGUGCCUGACCGAGACAUGUCUGGUGGAGAGAGAUCCAGCUUCCUACAACAUAGUCACCAUCAAGCCCUUUGGAGAGGUGUUUGCUCUCAUCUGCGAUGCGGAGAACCCCCAGGUGUUCACCAUAGAGUUCAUCAGAGGCCAGAUCAGGAAGUACUGCUCCACAGACAGGGACUCCCUGAUGGCCAGCCUGCUGGACGGGGUGCGUGCGUCGGGUAACAGGGACGUGUGUGUGAAGAUGGCCCCCACCCAGCGGGGCCAGCGCUGGGGCCUACUGAGCAUGCCUGUGGAUGAGGAAGUGGAGAGCCUGCACCUCAAAUUUCUGGCAACACCCCCUAAUGGAAACUUUGCAGAUGCAGUGUUCAGAUUCAACGCUAACGUAUCUUACAGUGGUGUGCUGCACGCCGUCACCCAAGAUGGUCUGUUUUCGGAGAACAAGGAGAAGCUGAUAAGCAAUGCUGUCUUGGCCCUGCUGUCACAGGAGUGUGAGCUGCCGGGCCCCAAUGCCGAGCUGGAGAGCCACUUCCAGGCACUCCGACGCCUAGUGGCCUCCAAGGCCGGCUUCCAGGCAUUCACACAGCUUCCCAAGUUCCGGGAAAAGUUGGGGGUGAAGACGGUGAAAGCUCUGAAGAGGAACAACAACGGAGUGACACAUGCCGCCAUAGACAUGCUUUGUGCUCUUAUGUGUCCGAUGCACGAUGACUAUGACCUGCGACAGGAGCAACUGAACAAGGCCUCCCUGAUGUCCUCCAAGAAGUUCCUGGAGAACCUUCUGGAGAAGUUCGUCAGCAACGUGGACCACGGCACGGGGGCGCUGGUGAUCAGCUCGCUGCUGGACUUCCUGACCUUUGCCCUGUGCGCCCCCUACAGCGAGACCAGCGAGGGACAGCAGUUUGACAUGCUGCUGGAGAUGGUGGCCUCCAACGGACGCACCCUCUUCAAACUCUUCCAGCACCCCUCUAUGGCCAUUGUGAAGGGAGCGGGCCUGGUGAUGAAGGCCAUCAUUGAGGAGGGGGAUAAGGAGAUAGCCACUAAGAUGCAGGAACUGGCUCUGAGUGAGGGAGCCCUGCCCAGACACCUGCACACCUCCAUGUUCACCAUCAGCUCAGACCAGAGGAUGCUCACCAACAGGCAGCUGAGUCGUCACCUGGUGGGCUUGUGGACAGCAGAGAACCCCAUCGCCAUGAGCCUCCUCAAGAGAAUACUGCCAACGGGGCUGCUGGCGUACCUGGACAGCCCUGAUGCCGUCCCGGAGAAAGACGUGGACAGGAUGCACAUCCGGGACAAUGUCAAAAUCGCCACGGACCAAUUUGGUCAGCAAAAGGUGCCCGACUGGCAGCGGGUGGCGGGAAAGGCAGCCAAAGAGGUGGAGAAGUUUGCCAAGGAGAAGGCCGACAUCGUGCUAAUGCACUGGAGGGACAAAAUGGGUAUCGCCCAGAAGGAGCAGGACAGAAAUAACCUGAACCCCAACCAAAAACCUGUCAUUCUGAGGAAGAGGAGACAGAGGAUCAAAAUCGAAGCCAACUGGGAGCUCUUCUACUACAGGUUCCAGUUGGAUCACGCGCGGUCCAACCUCAUCUGGAACCUGAAGACACGGGAGGAACUGCGGGACGCUCUGGAGGGAGAGAUGAGGGCCUUUGGCGUGGACCGCGAGCUGGGCAACGCUAGCGUCAUCUCCUGGAACCACCAGGAGUUUGAGGUGAGGUACGAGUGUCUUUCGGAUGAGAUUAAGAUUGGUGAUUAUUACCUGCGCCUGCUGCUGGAAGAGGAUGAGACGGAUGAGUCUGGGGCCAUCAAGAGAUCGUACGAGUUCUUCAAUGAGCUCUACCACCGUUUCCUGCUCACCCCCAAAGUCUCCAUGAAGUGCCUGUGCCUGCAGGCUCUCACCGUCGUCUAUGGGAAGUGCUGCGAGGAGAUUGGCCCCUUUACCGACACCAAGUACAUCGUUGGCAUGCUGGACCGGGCUACAGACAAACUGGAAAGAGACAGACUGAUCCUAUUCCUUAACAAACUCAUCCUCAACAAGAAAAAUGUGAAGGAGUUGAUGGACUCCAAUGGAGUCCGCAUCCUAGUGGACCUGCUCACCCUGGCCCACCUACACACCAGCCGAGCCACCGUCCCACUACAGAGCAACGUGAUCGAGGCCGGGGCGGACAUGAAGAGGGAGAGCGAGAAGGAGUGGUACUUUGGGAACGCAGACAAAGAGAGGAGGGGCCCCUUCAGCUUUGAAGAGAUGCAGGAGUUCUGGAGCAGUGGAGUGCUGACGGCCAAGACGAGGUGCUGGGCCCAGGGCAUGGACGGCUGGCGCCCCCUGCAGGCCAUCCCGCAGCUCAAGUGGUGCCUGCUGGCCAGCGGGCAGGCGGUGAUGAAUGAGACGGACCUGGCCACGCUCAUCCUCAACAUGCUCAUCACCAUGUGCUCCUACUACCCCAGCAGGGACCAGGACAAUGCCAUUAUUCGUCCCUUACCCAAGAUCAAGAGAAUGGUCAGCGAUAACACCUGCCUCCCUCACAUUGUCCAGCUGCUGCUGACCUUUGACCCCAUCCUGGUGGAGAAGGUGGCCAACGUGCUGUACCUGGUGAUGCAGGACAACCCCAACCUGCAGCGCCUCUACCUCACCGGCAUCUUUUUCUUCAUUAUGAUGUACACCGGCUCCAACGUGCUGCCAGUGGCCAGGUUCCUGAAGUACUGUCACCUGAAGCAGGCCUUCAAGUCAGAGGAGGCCAAAGGUACAGACAUCGUCCAGCGCAGUGUGCUGGGGCCGGUGAUGCCUGAGGCCAUGGUGUGUUACCUGGAGAACUACGAGGCAGAACGCUUCUCCGAGAUCUUCCUGGGAGAGUUUGACACGCCAGAGGCCAUCUGGAGCAGCGAGAUGAGGCGGAUGAUGAUUGAGAAAAUCGCGACCCACCUGGCUGACUUCAGCCCACGGCUGUACAGCAACACACGAGCCCUCUACCAGUACUGCCCCAUCCCUGUAGUCAGCUUCCCCCAGCUGGAGAACGAGCUCUUCUGUAACAUCUACUACCUCCGCCACCUGUGUGACGCCAACCGCUUCCCCAACUGGCCCAUCCGAGAGCCCGUGAAGCUGCUGAAGGACACCCUGGAGGCCUGGAAGAGGGAGGUGGAGAAGAAGCCUCCCUCCAUGUCUGUGGACGACGCCUACGAAGUCCUCAACCUGCCCAAGGGACAGGGACAACACGAGGAGAGUAAGAUCAGGAAGGCCUACUUCAGACUGGCUCAGAAGUACCACCCGGACAAGAACCCAGAGGGCAGGGAUAUGUUUGAGAAGGUCAACAAGGCCUAUGAAUUCCUGUGCACCAAGUCGUCCCGCAUCAUCGACGGCCCCGACCCCGAGAACAUCAUCCUCAUCCUCAAAGCCCAGAGCAUCCUCUUCAACAGACACAAACAAGAACUGGAACCCUACAAGUACGCCGGCUACCCCAUGCUCAUCAAGACCAUCACCAUGGAGACGGGUGAUGAGCAGCUGUUCUCCAAGACAUCCCCCCUGCUCCCGGCUGCAAUCGAGCUGGCCUUCCACACGGUCAACUGCUCCGCCCUAAACGCUGAGGAACUACGCAGAGAAAGUGGCAUCGAGAUUCUGUUGGACGCGCUGUCCCGGUGUGUCGCUGUUUUAACCGCUUCCAGCAAGUCUGAUGACAUGGCUGUUCAAGUGUGCGGCCAGGUGUGCAAGUGCUACAGUGUCGCGGCUCAGUUUGAGGAGUGCCGGGAAAAGAUCAUAGAGCUCCCCAACAUCAUCAGGGACCUCUGUCACGUGCUCUACUAUGGGAAGGGUCUCCCACGGACGGCGGCGCUGGCCGUGCAGUGCGUCAGCUCCUUCGCCGUGGAUUACUUUCUGCAGACGCACCUGUACCACGCCGGCGUGCUCUGGCACCUCCUGGUGCACCUGUUCAACUACGACUACACGCUGGAGGAGAGCGGCGUGGCCACCAGCCAGGACACCAACCAGCAGGAGGUGGCCAACAGCCUGGCCAAGCUUAGCCUAGUGGCCCUCAGCCGUCUGGGGGGCUACGCCCCACCCACCGGAGAGGGAGGUGUAGUGGCGACUAACGGGGUGGAGGGGCAACCCCCGGAGAACCCGACCAUUCGUAAGAGCCUGGCAGCCAUGCUCACACCCUAUAUUUCGAGGAGGUUAGGGUCGGCGGUACCGGCUGAGGUGUUGAAGCUGCUGAACAGUAACUCUGAGAACCCCUACCUUAUCUGGAACAACGGGACCCGGGCCGAGCUGCUGGAGUUCCUGGAGGCCCAGCAGGAAGCCAACAUCAGGAGGGGGGAGAACGAUAAGAGCUUUGGCUCAGAGUUUGUGUUCAGCGACCACGGUAAAGAGCUGAUCGUGGGUGAGAUCUUUGUCAGGGUCUACAAUGAGCAGCCUACCUAUCCUCUGGAGUACCCCAAGGCGUUUGCAGCCAGCCUGCUGGACUACGUGGGAUCCCAGGCCCAGUACCUCACCACCCUGCUGGCCAUGUCCCAGAGCAACAAGGUGGAGUCCCAGCAGCACGCAGAGAGGCUCCGCUGGGCCGAGAUGGCCCUGGAGGCCCUCCGCAACGUCAUCAAGAACAACCCAGGUUCGGAGACGGAGUGCAUCGGCCAUUUCAAGCUGCUGUUCUCCUUGUUACGGGUUCACGGGGCUGGGAAGGUACAGCAGCUAGCUCUGGAGGUUGUGAACACGGUCACCUCCAACCAGGACUGUGUGGCUAACAUCGCUGAGUCCCUGGUGCUGUCCAACCUACUGGUGCUACUGCACUCUCUGCCCUCCAGCCGGCAGCUUGUACUGGAAACUUUAUACGCCUUGACCUCCAACACCAAGAUAGUCAAAGAAGCUAUGACUAAGGGUGCGUUGAUCUACCUGCUGGACCUCUUCUGUAACUCCACCCACCCCCAGGUGCGCUCCCAGACGGCCGAGCUCUUCUCCAAAAUGACCUCUGACAAGCUGGUGGGGCCCAAGGUGCGGCUGACUCUGAUGCGUUUCCUGCCGGGUGUGUUCAUGGACGCCAUGCGGGACAACGCGGAGGCGGCAGUGCACAUCUUCGAGGGGACGCACGAGAACCCCGAGCUCAUCUGGAACGACGGCUCCCGGGAGACUGUCUCCACCACCGUCCGUGAGAUGAUGCUCGAGCACUUCAAACAGCAGAAGGAUAAUCCUGAUGUCAACUGGAGACUGCCAGAGGAGUUCACGGUGGCGUAUGGGGCGGGGCAGGGUGAGCUGGCGGUGGGCGGAGUCUUCCUGCGUAUCUUCAUCGCUCAGCCAGGCUGGGUGCUGCGCAAACCCAGGGAGUUCCUUGUGUCCCUCCUGGAGACCCUUACUGAGCUGUACGAGAAAAACAACCCCAAUGGUGAGGCCCUGGAGACGGUUACCACGGCGGCGGUGUGUUUGUUCAGCACACAGACCCAGCUGUGUGACCAGGUCCCUCCCCUGGGCCACCUGCCUCGCAUCCUGUCUGCACUGACCCACAAGAACAACGCCGUGCCCAAGAGCUCCAUCCGCCUCAUUCACGUGCUGUCGGACAAUGAGCAAUGUGUGCGCUCCAUGGCCUCUCUGGAGACCAUCGGUCCUCUGAUGAGUGGGAUGAAGAUGAGGGCAGACAUGGCAGGACUGGCCUGCGAGGCGCUCAACCGCAUGUUCCAGAGAGAGCAGACUGACCUGGUGGCUCAGGCCCUACGAGUGGAUUUGGUGCCGUACCUUCUGCGGCUACUGGAAGGGAUCGGGCUGGAGACCUUAGACAACCCCUCGGCCACCAAGGCUCAGAUCGUCAAGGCUCUCAAGUCCAUGACACGCAGUCUGCAGUAUGGCGAACAGGUGAAUGAAAUCUUGGCUCGGUCCACUGUGUGGAGUGCCUUCAAAGACCAGAAACAUGACCUAUUCAUCUCCGAGUCCCAGACCGCAGGGUACCUCACAGGUGUUUCCACUCCCUCUCUCAUGGCGGCCAGCAGCCCCCUGCGGAGUGGGCUGUAGUUUCCUGUGCAGGGCCCUCCCAGCGCGCCUCCUCUCUCUUUGCUCUGACGCAGGUCCAGGUGUAGCAGGCUACCUUACAGCAGGGACCGGUUCCACAGUGCUGCCCAGCGUUCCGCCUCCUGUGGACAAUGACAUUGGAGACUCAGGCUGAUUUGACUGACUGACAGACAGAGGGAGAAAUGCUCAGGCAUCCAGACUACCCUGUGGCUCACAGGCUGCAGCUCAGAGAGACUGCUCAGCUCUCUGGAGGGAGAAAGAGAGGGAGGGAGGAAAGGGGGCCAUCACAGACUAUCAUUGACUGUCUCCAAAAUGUCUGCCCUCAAACCCUUAAAAUGUCGCUCUCCUUCCCCGCCUCCAAACAGCACUCGUUGUAAACCUUUGUUUGAUUGUUUUAAAGCAAAUGAUAACACUUGUCAUCGAGUCAACCUUUUUUUCUUCUGUUUUUCCGCUUCUUUGUUUUUUUCCAAUGACACAAAUAGUUUACUUUUGUAUGAAUAUAUUUUUUAAUCUCAAAUUUUUUUUGUGGUGGGGAUAGACGAACAGAAGAAAAUUUGGACCUACCUCCCUCCAUUCUCUUCUCCUUCCUCUCUCCAUCAUGCCCGGUCUCACUGCUCUGCCUGGCAGCACAUACCCUCACAGAUCACAGCCACGAGUCCUGAAGGAGGGUACCUUAUGUGUAUCCGGCCUGAACAUGUGAUCACUGGACAAAGAUGAACUUAAUCUCCUCCGCUCACCUGUUUACAGGACCAGUCAAACCUUUCCUAAUUUUAUAAUGUAUGUUUUAGUGUGGUAUGGUUGAAAGAUGUUGAAAAAUGUUGUAAGGAGGAACUCACGGAACUGUGGUGUAUUAGUGCUCUGAACCCCCCUUAUAGGGAACAGCGCUUUGAGACAGGGCAAGACUAGACGUCAGCAUCCGUCUGCCCCUUUUUGAAGUGGUCACACGUGCGUUCGUUGUCUCCUUUCUGUAUUACCCCAAUCACGAUGAUCCUGCGCCAUACUUUGCUCUGCUCACUCUUUGACGUUUGACCUUUCUUCCACCACCACAAAUCUUUUUGUUCUUUUUCUUCCCCAGAAUGCGAAAAGCACUCUAAUAUUUAUAGGUAAAUAACGGUCUUUACCAAUUCAAAUUAGCUUCUGCUAAGACAUGAGGAAUGAUACUGACUCUGAUUAUAAAUAUAUGUGAAAGACUAGUGCAAUUGUGAAAUGUUCAAUGUAAUAUGACAAACUUUCUAUAUUGAAUGUACAUUUUAAAAGAAUCAGUCGCACUUGUAAAUACAAUUUUAGGAAAUAAAAAGGGAAUCCACAGUG